CAAAAGAAUAAUCCUUUUGCUUUAGGCAUGAAACUAAAUGUACUGAUUAGCAAAGCGUUCCUUCAACUGGAGCCGUGGAGUGGAUUAGUUAUUUUGAAAGAACUUCAGGUUGCAGAUGCAGCGUAAGACUCACUUUUUCACCCCUUCUUUUUUAGAAUUAAUAAAAUAGGGACUUAUUCCCCCCCCGAAAGGUUUAUAAACCAGCCCACAUGUGCAGCACCUGCUGGCCAGACUGAUUAACAGCUCAACUACAGUAAUUAUUUAAUUGAAUUCUCUAAACAGGGGCUCCCUGGCUUCAGAACAGUCAGAAAACUAAGCAAUAAUUUUUGCUAUUCAACCCCUCUGCAACCUAUGUUGCCAAAAAUACGUGUAGCAGCAAACUUUCAUUAUCUAAAGAACUAGGCCUUUCAAAGAAUUACCUAGACAGUCCAGCAUGAUUUAUUUUUCAUUCACCCACUCAAGUUUAGGCUACAAUUUCAGUUUCAUAUUUAGAGUCUGGUUCAAAAUCCAUUGAGGGCAUCAGAAGUUUUUUCAAUGGGCUUUGGAUCAGGCCCUUAAAAUGCCUUGCAGUGGAGAUUUAUAACACCACUCCACCAGUGUUUCUUACUUGUUAACAUUAAUCCAAAUGUUGUUCUAGAAACAGGCUAAACUGAGCAAAAGCGGAGGGCCCCCUUUAAAAAAAAUUUUUUUUAACCCAGCACAUAAAGCAAUUUCUAAUUUAGUUUUAGAGUUUCCAGGUGUUUAAAUACAGAAGCAGAGGAAUAAUACACAAAUGCAGGUGUCUAACCUCAUUUUCAGUUUCUUGCUUAAAUUGUACCUUUGUUGGAGGUUAGAGUAUCUUUCAGUCAUUUUGCUCUAGGCUAUUUUGACUUUCUAAAUUAUGGUAAGGCUUUGGAUUCACAAACCACCAUAGCACUUGUACUAUUUAAAGUAUUUUUUGCAACUGCAGCCACAAUAAUUGUUUUAAAAAAAUGCAGAUUAUAAUCCACCACAAAGCCCAGAACCAAAGAGAGAUACUCUAGUCUUUGUAGGGAGUGGUAGCAUAAAAGUGAACAAAUAUUGCACUGUAGUAAUAAUAUAGUGCUCCUUACCCUACUAGCAUGUUUUUGGAAAGAACAACUGCCUAUGUUUAAUCUGAUUUUGUGUACUUCAAUUGUGUUGCACUAACUCUUACUAAAUGUCUACAUUGCAUAUAUAACUCCUUUCCUAAACCUGGAGAACUCUGUGUAGCUCAGAAACUUGUCUCUUUCACUAAUGGAAGGUGGUACAAUAAAAGAUAUUUCAUAUACACAUGCAGGAGCAGGAUACUGCUAUUUAGAGGUGUCAUGCACAUUCUAUUUAACAGAACAUUCCACCUUUUAUGAUCAAAUGCAUGUAUUUUCCUAUACCUAUAGCUUUAUAGUAGAGAUUCAAAUGCACUGAAUUUUAGAAUCCCCCAUUUUAGAGGCAGUUCUGCAAAUUAGAAGUCAGAUUACCACUGUAGGUGUCUACUGUACUCACUUUUUUAUUUUAAAAGGAGCGUACCUGAUUUAUUUGCACAGUUCCUACCAGGAUUGGAAUUAUUAGGAUGUUUUGCACCCAAACUUCCAUUUUGUUAGAAAAUGAAAAGGAGAGUGGUUUUAGAACCCUUACUAGCAUCACAGUCAAAAAGAGAAUGCUUGCAACAGAACAUUCCAUGUGCUGUGCUAACAGGAGUCAGCAAGUGAAAUUAACAGUAAGCAAAACUGAGCUGUACAUUUGUGUUAUCCAAGCUGAAUGAAAAAUAAUUUUGUUAAGUGGUGCAAAAUAAAUUUGUAAAAAAAAAGUGGUAAUUUUUAAAGAUACAUUUUUUGAACUUGUCUCUCCCUUGAAUGAGUAUUGCAAAGCUAAAUUUCAAAACCAUACCACGCACAUUGUCUGGACAGCUUCACCCAUACCUCAGUAUGAGUGAUGUACAAAACAAGCAAGUCAGCCAGGUCUCAAAAAUUCUUGGAUUUAUGCAGAACUAAGGUCACUGCAGUGCUGUAAUUGUAUAUUUCCCAAAAAACAAACCCUCUCACUUAACUGUAGUGAAUACAAGUAUUAAACCAAACAAUUUCCCCUUUUGAAUGCAACACAAAACCAAACCAGUUACUCUUCAUUGAAGGGUCCAGGAAAAAAUCACAUCUAAUGGACUUUUAUGGCUACAUUCACAAAUCCACACACUGCUGAACUUAAUGAUUCAUGCAAGCUGUCUAACAAAAUUGUAUGCAAAAAUCUACAGUCCUUAUAUUGGUUUCUCAACAGGAAUUUUAUAGCAUAUUAAUUGUAACUGGCCAUGGGGACAUGAAUUAAAAGCACGACAAUAGGCAUAUUUUAUACAUUGCAAAAUAAAUCAAACUUAAACAGAAAGUGAGGAUUGAUGUAAAGAACAUACAAAUGAAAAGAGGAGAAGGAAACCGCUUUAUUGCUAAAUAAGGGUUUUAAAAUGUUAUUGGAAGACUUACAUGUGCAAAAUUAACUGUGCCCAUAUCUGGCAAUUUGGCAUAGAUGGAAGUUUGUAUUUUCAUUAUAUAUUUC